GGCGCACGAGUGCACUUUGUUCGGGACGGUAGCGGGAUCGUACGAGGGCGCCGGGUUUCCAGAUCGCGAGUAAGAAAGAUGGCUGAGGAACAGCCGAAGUACAAAUUGAUCUACUUCAAUGCACGAGGUCGUGCCGAGCAUAUUCGCUACAUAUUCGCUUAUGUGGGCAUCGACUAUAUCGACGAAAGGAUCUCCAACGAUCGCUGGCCUGAGCUUAAAAAGUCGAUGCCUUACGGGAUGCUGCCAGUUCUGGAGAUAGACGGCAAGCCGAUAGCGCAAAGCAACGCCGUGGCGCGUUACCUGGCCCGUGAGCACAAUCUCGCGGGCAAGGACGAAUGGGAAUCGAUGCUGUGCGACGUGCUGGUCGAUACCUUGGGAGACUUGAAACAAUUUAUCUUUCAAUAUCGCACAGAGGAGGAUCACUUUAAGAAGGAGGAGAAGAAGGCGAAGCUUCUGAAGGAAACUAUACCGUUCUACCUGAAUAAGUUCGAGCAAACUGUUGCUGAGAAUGGCGGUUACGCAGUCGGUUCUAUGACCACGUGGGCGGACUUCGUGUUCACCGUGGCGUUGGAGAACUUUGAGAACAUUUUCGGCGCGACUGCCUUAGAGAAUUAUCCGGCGUUACGUGGCUUGAAGAAACGGGUACAUGAAAUUUCAGCGAUCGCCGACUGGCUGUCACGGCGACCUCAUUCAGAGUUUUGAAAUGUCGAUUCAACGACGGAAACCGGAAGGCAACAUCGACGGUAUCAUAAACAACCAGCAAAGGAAAAUGCAAGAAAUGCAACAAAAUAGACUGCAGUCAAUAAGAUUGAUUGCAACGAAGAUUUAAAGGUAAUUUGUAAACAUCGUCAUGCUUUUAUCAAUAAGACGGUAUCUUUAUAAAUGUACUACAUAAGAUCUAGCUCGAUGUACUCUUCAUAAGAUCAUCGUGUUUGAACGAGAUAAUAAACGAGAAGAUGCGCUUGUAAAAUAUAUCUUGCCAUUAGAACGGGAGCAGCGGAAAUAAUGCGUAGACUUUUUAAUGUGCUACGAUAUAUGAAGAUGAUAAAAAGCUUUGUUCUUUCGUCAGCGCUUAAAGACGUGCCCACAGGUACGGCGAUAUAGUCAAUUGUAAUUAUCAAACGAGGACUUUAGGAGAGAGAACUGGCUGCAUGAGUUGUAAUGUAUAUGUUGCGACGUUAUACAUAUAUGUAAUGUUAAGUGUACUAUUAAGUGUUGAGAUUACAAAUGAUGUAAUAUAAAUGUUAUUGCGAUUACAUAAGGAGCAGUAUGACUGAUAAUAAUAAUGUGAUGCAAACAAUUAAGAGUCCAAUUGAUCUCAAUGCAUAUAUUAAUAUCAAUAACACCUCAUUCAUAAAGUAUAAAAAAUAUGCAAAAUUUAUGUGCAUGCACUUACCACUUGACUGAAUCAUGAAAUAUGUUUGUAUCAAAGUCCAUUUAUUUUUCUCGCGAUUGAAUUAUUUUGUUUUAAGAUUCAGAGC